UUAAUCAACCGAGAGUCAUGUUCUUCUUAGACUGCUCUAAUUUUGAGGCACUUAACAUGGUAAUUUGUUUCACUGUUAGCAUUUACAUGAUUUAUAUUGUAGCUGAAGUUGAGGAUAAUCUUGAUGUAGCUGUAUUGAAUAUAGAAACUGCAGUCGAGGAGCUGCAACAAGCAGAAGAAAACGUUAGUUCGUCGAGAAGAAAGAAGAUCAUAUUAGCAGUAGUCAUAGCAUCAGUUGUUUUGAUUUUAGUAACUGUUAUCUUAGCCUGGCAAUUGUCAUGAUGUUUAAAAUGUUCUCUUUCUGUUUUUGCUGACUUGAAAAUUAUUUAUAUCUUUACAUUGUUAAUUAAACUGGAAAAUUUUGUUA